GACUGAACUUUUAUGCAAGGAGGAAUGACUCUGUAAGGAACUUGACUACGUCAUCGGCCAGCGGUCUUGGAAGUUGCAAACUUGUAAAUAACAAUCUUCACCAUGUUCGGUGGAAUCUUGACGUACCCAAUGUGAAAAUUCACAUUUUGAACCUUUGUUCAAGCUCCGACACACAAAAAAUCAGAGAGAGGAACUUUCAAUCGAAGGACAAAAAAAUAGAGAAGCUUAUCGGUAAGCUAUAGUUUCCCAUGCUUGUCUGUGUUAGAACCCGGUCUACGUCUUCUACGAUUGUACAGAGAGAUAGUAACAUAACAACAAUACAACAAUCAAUAUUUCAUUAACUCCCUUAUUCUCUUACGAUGUGCUAUUUAUGCUAAUACCCAACUCUAACUGUCACCACAAGAUGAUGCCAUCUGGCAUCCUAACAGUCUGGUGGGAUACUGAAACCAAUUUUUUAACUUUUAUGCUUACAAUUUCAAAUAGCCGUAUUGCCGUGUCGUAUCGCCGUAUCCGUAUCCGUAUCCGUGCUACAUUUGUUAAUGUUGAGGCAAAAAGUUACCGGAGUUUUCUGCUCAAGAAGAGGAAGUCCUGCUACCGUUAGAACGUGUCGGAGAGGCCAAAAGAUUAGCACAGAUGAAAAUAAAAGAGAGUGGAGACAAGAAGAGGAAGGGGGCAAACAAUGGGGAGGAGGAGGAUAUUGACAAGUACUUAGGCCACAAGGGGGGAGGAAAGUCCGGAGGGAAGUCGAAGAAGUUCAAAAAAUCAAGAGAUUGAUUUCUCACUCUGCCAAGUUUUGUUGUCAAGAGGAUUUUUGCUUUGUGGUAAUUAUGAUACGUUCAUUCAACAAGCAAUGAAAUUUUAAUCU